rnacentral:rRNA from 1 species
GGUUCGGGCUCUUCUUGCGCAGCUUAGGUGGAAGGCGUUGAAAGAGAGCUUCUGGGUUCUCUGGAGCCACCAGUGAGAUACCACUCUGGAAGAGCUAGGAUUCUAAUCUCGACCCCUUAGCGGGGCGUGUGACAGUUUCAGGUGGGCAGUUUGACUGGGGCGGUCGCCUCCUAAAAGGUAACGGAGGCGUGCAAAGGUUCCCUCCGGCUGGACGGAAAUCAGCUGUAGAGUGUAAAGGCAGAAGGGAGCUUGACUGCGAGACCUACAAGUCGAGCAGGGACGAAAGUCGGCCUUAGUGAUCCGACGGUGCCGUGUGAAAGGGCCGUCGCUCAACGGAUAAGAGUUACUCUAGGGAUAAC